rnacentral:rRNA from 1 species
AUUGAACGCUGGCGGCAUGCCUUACACAUGCAAGUCGAGCGGCAGCGCGGGGGCAACCCUGGCGGCGAGCGGCGGACGGGUGAGUAAUACAUCGGAACGUGUCCUUUCGUGGGGGAUAACCAGUCGAAAGACUGGCUAAUACCGCAUGAGAUCUCACGAUGAAAGCGGGGGACCGCAAGGCCUCGCGCGAUUGGAGCGGCCGAUGUCGGAUUAGCUAGUUGGCGGGGUAAAAGCCCACCAAGGCGACGAUCCGUAGCUGGUUUGAGAGAACGACCAGCCACACUGGGACUGAGACACGGCCCAGACUCCUACGGGAGGCAGCAGUGGGGAAUUUUGGAUAAUGGGGGCAACCCUGAUCCAGCCAUGCCGCGUGUGUGAAGAAGGCCUUCGGGUUGUAAAGCACUUUCGGCCGGAACGAAAUCGCGCGAGUUAAUAACCCGCGUGGAUGACGGUACCGGAAGAAGAAGCACCGGCUAACUACGUGCCAGCCGCCGCUGUAACAC